CCUACGGGGGACGGCAGUGAGGAAUAUUGGUCAAUGGACGAGAGUCUGAACCAGCCAAGUAGCGUGAAGGAUGACUGCCCUAUGGGUUGUAAACUUCUUUUAUAUGGGAAUAAAACGUUCCACGUGUGGGAUUUUGUAUGUACCAUAUGAAUAAGGAUCGGCUAACUCCGUGCCAGCAGCCGCGGUAAUACGGAGGAUCCGAGCGUUAUCCGGAUUUAUUGGGUUUAAAGGGAGCGUAGGUGGAUUGUUAAGUCAGUUGUGAAAGUUUGCGGCUCAACCGUAAAAUUGCAGUUGAAACUGGCAGUCUUGAGUACAGUAGAGGUGGGCGGAAUUCGUGGUGUAGCGGUGAAAUGCUUAGAUAUCACGAAGAACUCCGAUUGCGAAGGCAGUUCACUGGACUGCAACUGACACUGAGGCUCGAAAGUGUGGGUAUCAAACAGGAUUAGAUACCCGGGUAGUC
rnacentral:rRNA from 1 species